rnacentral:rRNA from 1 species
GAUGAACGCUGGCGGCGUGCUUAACACAUGCAAGUCGAACGAUGAAGCCCAGCUUGCUGGGUGGAUUAGUGGCGAACGGGUGAGUAACACGUGAGUAACCUGCCCUUAACUCUGGGAUAAGCCUGGGAAACUGGGUCUAAUACCGGAUAGGAGCGUCCACCGCAUGGUGGGUGUUGGAAAGGUUUAUCGGUUUUGGAUGGACUCUCGGCCUAUCAGCUUGUUGGUGAGGUAAUGGCUCACCAAGGCGACGACGGGUAGCCGGCCUGAGAGGGUGACCGGCCACACUGGGACUGAGACACGGCCCAGACUCCUACGGGAGGCAGCAGUGGGGAAUAUUGCACAAUGGGCGAAAGCCUGAUGCAGCGACGCCGCGUGAGGGAUGACGGCCUUCGGGUUGUAAACCUCUUUCAGUAGGGAAGAAGCGAAAGUGACGGUACCUGCAGAAGAAGCACCGGCUAACUACGUGCCAGCCGCCGCGGUAA